GAUGAACGCUGGCGGCGUGCUUAACACAUGCAAGUCGAACGGUAAGGCCCAAGCUUGCUUGUCUGCUCGAGUGGCGAACGGGUGAGUAACACGUGGGUGAUCUGCCCUGUACUUCGGGAUAAGCCUUGGAAACUGUGUCUAAUACUGGAUAGGACCACUUCUUGGAUGGUGUCGUGGAAAGAUUUUUCGCUGUGGGAUGAGCUCGCGGCCUAUCAGCUUGUUGGUGGGUUGAUGGGCUACCGACGCGUCGAGGCGUAGCCAGCGAGAGAGCGUGUGCGGCCGCACUGGGACUGAGAGACGGCACAGACAGCUACGGGAGGCAGAAGGGGGGAAGAUUGCACGAUGGGCGCAAGCUUGAUGCAGCGAGGCCGCGUGUGGGAUAACGGCGUUCGGGGUGUAGACUCCGUUCGCUAGGGACGAAGCGAUUUUGUGACGGUACCUGGAGAAGAAGCACCGGCUAACUACGUG
rnacentral:rRNA from 1 species